CGUGUAGGCGGCCAUUCAGGUCAGCUGUGAAAACUCGAGGCUCAACCUCGAGACGUCGGUUGAAACCGUAUGGCUAGAGUCCGGAAGAGGAGAGUGGAAUUCCCGAUGUAGCGGUGAAAUGCGCAGAUAUCGGGAAGAACACCCGUGGCGAAGGCGGCUCUCUGGGACGGUACUGACGCUGAGACGCGAAAGCGUGGGGAGCGAACA
rnacentral:rRNA from 1 species